rnacentral:misc_RNA from 1 species
GUGAAUCAUCGAAUCUUUGAACGCACAUUGCACUCUCCUGGAAGAGUAUGCCCGUUUGUGUGUGAGCCUCUAUAAAAUCGACAUCGCUGCUGUUUCGCGGUGGCGUUCGUUGGAACUUGGGUCAUCUUAAAUGCUUUUGAUUUACGCGACUUAAAAUUGUCUUUUAGUUCCUUGAACGUUUCUAAGAUCUAUUUCUUUACACGUUUAAGGUAUCGAUUUUUACUAGAGGUGACCGUCAUCUCGGAUCGCGUCGAUA